AUUGAACGCUGGCGGCAGGCCUAACACAUGCAAGUCGAACGAGUGGCGGACGGGUGAGUAAUGUCUGGGAAACUGCUCGGUGGUGGGGGAUAACUACUGGAAACGGUAGCUAAUACCGCAUACCAUCGGAUGUGCCCAGAUGGGAUUAGCUAGUAGGUGGGGUAAAGGCUCACCUAGGCGACGAUCCCUAGCUGGUCUGAGAGGAUGACCAGCCACACUGGAACUGAGACACGGUCCAGACUCCUACGGGAGGCAGCAGUGGGGAAUAUUGCACAAUGGGCGCAAGCCUGAUGCAGCCAUGCCGCGUGUAUGAAGAAGGCCUUCGGGUUGUAAAGUACUUUCAGCGGGGAGGCGUUACCCGAAGAAGAAGCACCGGCUAACUCCGUGCCAGCAGCCGCGGUAAUAC
rnacentral:rRNA from 1 species